UCCAAAACACUCUUAUUUGAGUUCAAAGUUCUUCAAACAAGCUCUAAUGUCCACACUCAGUUUAAGGUUUACAAAAUAUUGUAGAAAAAUAUAAAAAAUGCUUAGGAAACUUGUAUUACAUCAACAGAUUUCAUUUAAAUGCAAAAUUCUAAGAUUCGAACAAGCUGGCAGGUUCGCUACUCCAUUGCUUCUCAAAACUCAGAACUUCAGCAACAGCUUGAGCACUAAAUUCAGCAGCAGUAGGCACAGGAAUUUUCAGCUCAGAACGACGACCUCAAUAGUAGAAAUAAAGCAUUGGAAUCACAGUAAUAUUGAGUCAGAAUAACCACUAAGUACAGCUGAAUAGUGCAGGAUCUGCUUUCAAGAAAAAAACAGCUCAAAACUUGCAUUUCAAUAGUGUAUUGUUGGCAUAUAAACUGAAGCAACGCAAUUGAGUUAAUUGAAACCAAACCUUUUGCAAAAUUACCUCAACUGUUAUGAAAAAAAUAGUAACAACAAUCAAUUAAAGAAAUGUGUAAAUCUCCAUCGUUGAGCGAAAAAUGAACAAUGCAGGGCUGUAGACAGCAGCAACAAUCAAUUAAAGAAAUGUGUAAAUCUUCAUUGUUGAGCAAAAAUGAACAAUGUAGGGCUGUGGACAGCAAGUUGAAAUCCUUUACAACGACAGAAAACAAGCAGCAAAUUAUUUUCAAGCAAACAUACAACUUUUGUCAGCAGAUUCUAACCAAUUGGACAAUAAUUUAUGUAACAAGAGAACUCAAUUCAUCAAGGAGAACAUUUUAGAAGUAAAAACCAGAUUUCAAACUAUCUCUGCGAAACUUGAGCACAAUCUCAACUAACAUAAAUUUCCAACAGAUUUAGCUUACUGUAUGUUCAACCAAAUAACAAUUCAAGCAAGCUCAAUCUCUAGUCCCACAUAAUCCCCUCUAUUAUACUCAACAAUAAUAACAACUAUUAGAAAUCAGUGGUAACAAGUUCAAACUAGGAGAAUUUCAGCUAUCAAUUUACUCCAAAAACAUCACAAAAGGGACAAACUUCAAUAAGACAAACUUCAGAACUCCAUAGUCUUAGCACAAAGAUAAUUGGUAUUUAGUGCAGGAUUUUCUUUCAAACAUUGGCCCAUGAAAAAUUCAUAGAUUGAAUUAAAAUCAACAAACAAAGAAUGAUCUCAACAGAACUUUCGCCAGCAUAAAAGAAGUUUGACAAGAGAAUUCCAACUUGAACUCUAAGAAUUUCAAUAGUAGAGUCCAUUGAAACAACUCAAUUCAAACAAUUUUCAACGAACAACUUCUGAAUUCUAAAACUAACAUAUGUGGCUAAAAGUGGAUAGAAGUACAAUAUUUGGCUAUGAUCCCGCAAAGCCGAGAACCUAAGAUUUACUAGGAAGACCGGACCAUAUGAGGGUUGCCUACGUAUCACGCUCUGAAAGACGAGAAUCAGGUUUGCGUAGUUCGGACAGAUUGAAUGCGGGCAAGAAACAAAAAAUACACCUAAUUUUUAAAGAAAAUAUUUUCUUUUGUAUCUUAUGAAAAGAACAACAAGAGAUGCGAAUUUCCAGCAAUUGAAAUGCCAUUAAGACUCUCGAUUUUCAAGUUAGUGAUUAUAUACCCAAAUUCUCAUUCUAACACAGAUUUAAAAAAACAUACAUAAAUGCUCAAACUCAUAAUACCAACUAUAACUAAUAAUAUAUAAAACUCAAAGCAGACACGCAUGUAAAACAUUAAAGCAACAGUGACAUGGAUAGUGACAUAAAUCGGAAAUACUUGAAUCAUAGAGAAAUGAAUUAGAGUAGUGAAAAAGCGAAAGAGCCACCCUAGUUGCUGAAAAUCUUCAAAAACACGUACAUCGCAAAGGAGUAUCUUAAAAUAGCAGUCCUCAACCGAACUACAGACCAUAAACUCGAACCGGAAUCGCAACGGCGAACGACUCAACUUAGCCAGAUUCGAGAUAGUGACCUCGGGCUGGUUUUGCCUUGAUUUUGAGGUGAUGUUUUCAGUGGGAGUUGCAGUGGCUAGCUUCAAGGUGAAGUAAAGAAGACGAAGUUAAGGGGGGUCCGAUUUUUGAGUUGCGGCUAUUUCCAUUUCUGUUCCUAGGCGUCUCUUCGGUGUUUUUCAAAUGGAGAAGAUGACUGAUCUGCUUCUCAAGAUCCUUAGCUUUUUGUUAUGGUUGCUUUUUGGAGAAGACGGAAUCCGAAGAAAAAGAGCAAAGGAAAGCUGCGCUGGGGUAGGGGUGCUUGGAGAAGACGACGAGGGGGGGUCCUUUUUGGAGAAGACGUUAUUUUUUUUUUAUGUAUGUAUGUGUAUGGUCAUCAGAUUCUGGCGUGGUGAGGGUGGAUGGUUGCUGGAGUUUUUUAGGCGAGUUUGGUGAUAGUUUAUGGCUGUUGCUUCAUUUUUGAAGAAGACCUGAAACGCAGCUGCCGCUCUCUCUCUCUCUCGGCGUAUAUCUUCGAGCUUCAUGAAGAAGAAGAAGUGAUCAUGGUGGGCUGCUAGGGUUUGACGGAGAAGAUGACCGGGGGGUUAUGUCCAAAAGUUGCGCAGCUGCGCUGAUAUUCUUCCAGGCGUGUAUAUCUCUCGUGUAGUGUUUAUUAUUAUGUGUUAGGGUUUUUAGGUGGGGAAAUGGGUUUGGGUAUUAGGUUGGAUCGGGUCGACCCGGUUUGCGGUUGGGUAGGGGCUAAUUUGUGUGUGAUUUUAAAAUGGGAAAUUGUAUUGGGCUUAAAAAAAUAGAACUAGAUAUCAGCCCAAAAAUAUUAUUCUCAUCUUUAUUUUCAUAUUUCUCUAAAUUCGUUUAAGUUAAAAUUAAAAAUAAC
rnacentral:lncRNA from 1 species